rnacentral:rRNA from 1 species
UACGUAGGCAGCGAGCGUUGUUCGGAAUUACUGGGCGUAAAGAGUGUGUAGGCGGUGUUCCCAGUCUGUUGUGAAAUCUCCCGGCUUAACUGGGAGGGUGCAGCGGAAACUAGAAUGCUAGAGGGUGGGAGAGGUAAGCGGAAUUCCUGGUGUAGCGGUGAAAUGCGUAGAUAUCAGGAGGAACACCUGUGGUGUAAGACUUACUGGACCACUUCUGACGCUGAGACACGAAAGCGUGGGUAGCAAACAGG